ACGGGAGGCAGCAGUGGGGAAUAUUGGGCAAUGGGCGCAAGCCUGACCCAGCAACGCCGCGUGAGGGAAGAAGGCUUUCGGGUUGUAAACCUCUGUCCUAUGUGACGAAGGAAGUGACGGUAGCAUAGGAGGAAGCCCCGGCUAACUACGUGCCAGCAGCCGCGGUAAUACGUAGGGGGCGAGCGUUGUCCGGAAUUACUGGGCGUAAAGGGUGCGUAGGCGGUAGCUUAAGUUGGAUGUGAAAUACCCGGGCUUAACUUGGGGGGUGCAUCCAAUACUGGGGUACUUGAGUGCAGGAGAGGGAAGCGGAAUUCCUAGUGUAGCGGUGAAAUGCGUAGAUAUUAGGAGGAACACCAGUGGCGAAGGCGGCUUUCUGGACUGUAACUGACGCUGAGGCACGAAAGCGUGGGGAGCAAACAGGAUUAGAUACCCUGGUA
rnacentral:rRNA from 1 species